UUGAACGCUGGCGGUAGGCUUAACACAUGCAAGUCGUGCGAGAAAGUAUCUUCGGAUAUGAGUAUAGCGGCGGACGGGUGAGUAACGCGUAGGAAUCUACCUAGUAGAAGGGGAUAGCCCGAGGAAACUCGGAUUAAUACCGUAUACCUCCUUUGGGAGAAAGAGGGCCUCUCUUGAUGCUCUCGCUAUUAGAUGAGCCUGCGUAAGAUUAGCUUGUUGGUGAGGUAAUGGCUCACCAAGGCUGCGAUCUUUAGCUGGUCUGAGAGGACGAUCAGCCACAUUGGGACUGAGACACGGCCCAGACUCCUACGGGAGGCAGCAGUGGGGAAUAUUGGACAAUGGGCGCAAGCCUGAUCCAGCCAUACCGCGUGUGUGAAGAAGGCCCUAGGGUUGUAAAGCACUUUAAGCAGGGAGAAAAAGCUAUAAGUUAAUACCUUAUAGCCCUGAUGUUACCUGCAGAAUAAGCACCGGCUAAUUCCG
rnacentral:rRNA from 1 species